rnacentral:ncRNA from 1 species
CAAACGACAAUGAAAAGAAGAGUAGCAGUUCAUUUGUUCUCAGAGAGUCUCUGGUUGGUGAGAAGAGACAGCAAUGAUUUGUGAACCACAUCUUUGAGUCGAUCAGCUGAAAUAAGUAGGCUGAUCCGGGAGAGCCCGUUAGCGCAGAGGUCAGAUUGACCAGUUGAGAUCGUUCGUUGUGAGACGACGAUGAAAAAAGGUGGAACCACGUAAUUACGUCCUUUAGCCCUAGCGGCUAAAGGACUUUUUUUAUUUCACUGAUUGGACACUGACCCAAAGAGGUUCCUUUUGCGAGAAAGGAACAAAGAUGAGGUGGAACCACGUAUAUAACGUCCUCUGG